GCUGGCAACUAAAAUCAAGGGUUGCGCUCGUUGCGGGACUUAACCCAACAUCUCACGACACGAGCUGACGACAACCAUGCACCACCUGUCACUCUGUCCCCGAAGGGAAAGCCCUAUCUCUAGGGUUGUCAAAGGAUGUCAAAACCUGGUAAGGUUCUUCGCGUUGCUUCAAAUUAAACCACAUGCUCCACCGCUUGUGCGGGCCCCCGUCAAUUCCUUUGAGUUUCAGUCUUGCGACCGUACUCCCCAGGCGGAGUGCUUAAUGCGUUAGCUGCAGCACUAAGGGGCGGAAACCCCCUAACACUUAGCACUCAUCGUUUACGGCGUGGACUACCAGGGUAUCUAAUCCUGUUCGCUCCCCACGCUUUCGCUCCUCAGCGUCAGUUACAGACCAGAGAGUCGCCUUCGCCNNNGGUGUUCCUCCACAUCUCUACGCAUUUCACCG
rnacentral:rRNA from 1 species